rnacentral:rRNA from 1 species
GACGAACGCUGGCGGCGUGCCUAAUACAUGCAAGUAGAACGCUGAAGGAGGAGCUUGCUCUUCUGGAUGAGUUGCGAACGGGUGAGUAACGCGUAGGUAACCUGCCUGGUAGCGGGGGAUAACUAUUGGAAACGAUAGCUAAUACCGCAUAAAAUUGAUUAUUGCAUGAUAGUCAAUUAAAAGGUGCAAUUGCCUCACUACCAGAUGGACCUGCGUUGUAUUAGCUAGUUGGUGAGGUAACGGCUCACCAAGGCAACGAUACAUAGCCGACCUGAGAGGGGGAACGGCCACACUGGGACUGGGACAAGGCCCAGAAUCCUACGGGAGGGAGCAGGAGGGAAUCUUCGGCAAUGGACGGAAGUCUGACCGAGCAACGCCGGGUGAGUGAAGAAGGUUUUCGGAUCGGAAAGGUCUGUUGUAAGAGAAGAACGAGUGUGAGAGUGGAAAGUUCACACUGUGACGGUAUCUUACCAGAAAGGGACGGCUAACUACGUG